rnacentral:RNase_P_RNA from 1 species
GCGGAAGGCUGGAUGGCCGCGACGGGAAACCGUCGAGGAAAGUCCGGACUCCAUGAAGCAACGGUGCCGGGUAACGCCCGGCCGGGGAAACCCGAGGGAAAGCGCCACAGAGAUGAAACCGCUCCGGCUUCGGCAGGAGUAAGGGUGAAACGGUGGGGUAAGAGCCCACCGCGGACCUGGCGACAGGGACGGCACGGCAAGCCCCACCGGGAGCAAUGCCAAAUAGGGGCCUCGCGCGGGGGCCGGUCCCGGAUCACGGUCCGGGAUACCGCCCGCAGGGACGCUUCAGCCCGAGAGGCCCGGGUUGGCAGCUUGAUCCCGCCGGUAACGGCGGGACGAGAGGAAUGGUCAUCCAGCCCCGGAUCACGGUCCGGGGCGGACAGAAUCCGGCUUACAGGCCUUCCGCGCAA